rnacentral:misc_RNA from 1 species
GAAUAAAUGAACGGCUCGUCUGAAAUGCCUGAGUGUACCCCGCUUUGCGGCGCAUUCGGUGUGAUAAAUCUUCACCGGAGUUGAUCCCUUUAUGGGGUCGCGUCUGUAAUGGUGUGGCUCUAUGCUUCAAACCGUCUUCUAGUGAGACAAAUCUCUGACAAUUUGACCUCAAAUCGGGUGGGACUACCCGCUGAACUUAA